rnacentral:lncRNA from 1 species
GGCUUAAACAACAGGUAUUUAUUUUUUCACUGUUCUGGAGGCUUGGAAGUCUAAGAGUGCCAGUAGGGUUGAGUUCUGGUGAGGGCUCUUUCUGGCUUGAAGGUAGCCGCCUUCCCACUGUGUCCUCACACAGCAGAAAAAGAGCACACACAAAUUUUCUGUUGUCUCCUCUUAUAAGUGUGUUAAUCCCAUGAUGAGAGCCCCACUCAUGAUCUCAUCUAGUCCUAAUUAUUUCCCAAAGGCCCCAUCUCCAAAUACCAUCACACUGAGGAUCAGGGCUUCAGCAUUUGGAUUUGCAGGGACACAACUUAGUUCACAGUAUUAAGGCAGGUGGGAGGAAGCUGAGACUCUGAGGGCACUGGUGAGCUGAGACAUCAAAAUCAAUCAUUACUCUGUUUUAGGUCAGGUGUGGCAGCAUGCACCUGUAGUCCCAGCUACUCGGGAGGCUGAGGUGGGAGGAUCACUUGAGCCGGGAGCAUCGAGGCUGCAGUGAGCCAUGAUCACACCACUGCACUCCAGCCUGGGCAAAAGAGUGAGACCCUUUAGAAGAUGCUGUAUGGAGAAAGAAUUCCCUCGUUGAGUAUUUUCAGGUUGCGUCAAGACUCCCAGCUCCCUGCUAAGCAUUUCCUCCUGAGGCAGCUGAUAUCAGCUGUCCUCUCUUCUCUCUUAGUCAGCAAGAAAAGCCAGGGGGUUCCUUUCUUUUCUUUUCUUUUUUUAAGGCUAACAUAUACAUGGACUGUUUUCUUUCUUUGAGGGUGGGAGAAAGGGAAAACUUAAGUCAUUUGUCUUUUCUUUCCCAUAAGUGAUCAUAUAGUAUCAAAUACUAUUCAAGUAUUUGCAAAAUGGUUACACUUCUGAGGCACAUGUUGUU